CCUACGGGAGGCAGCAGUGGGGAAUUUUGGACAAUGGGCGAAAGCCUGAUCCAGCCAUGCCGCGUGCAGGAUGAAGGCCUUCGGGUUGUAAACUGCUUUUGUACGGAACGAAAAGCCUCUUUCUAAUAAAGAGGGGUCAUGACGGUACCGUAAGAAUAAGCACCGGCUAACUACGUGCCAGCAGCCGCGGUAAUACGUAGGGUGCGAGCGUUAAUCGGAAUUACUGGGCGUAAAGCGUGCGCAGGCGGUUAUAUAAGACAGUUGUGAAAUCCCCGGGCUCAACCUGGGAACUGCAUCUGUGACUGUAUAGCUAGAGUACGGUAGAGGGGGAUGGAAUUCCGCGUGUAGCAGUGAAAUGCGUAGAUAUGCGGAGGAACACCGAUGGCGAAGGCAAUCCCCUGGACCUGUACUGACGCUCAUGCACGAAAGCGUGGGGAGCAAACAGGAUUAGAUACCCUGGUAGUCCACGCCCUAAACGAUGUCAACUGGUUGUUGGGAAUUCACUUUCUCAGUAACGAAGCUAACGCGUGAAGUUGACCGCCUGGGGAUACGGCCGCAAGGUUGAAACUUAAAUGAAUUGAGG
rnacentral:rRNA from 1 species